rnacentral:tRNA from 2 species
GUCUUGAUGGCGCAGUUGGCUAGCGCGUUGGUCUCAUAUUUGAAUGAUAUGAUCUAGUUAAACACUAGAAAUCCAGAGGUCGUGAGUUCGAGCCUCACUCAGGACA